UCCUCGGUAGUAUAGUGGUCAGUAUUUCCGCCUGUCACGCGGGCGAUUGGGGUUCGAUUCCCCGCCGGGAAG
rnacentral:tRNA from 1 species